UACGAAGGCCCCAAACGUUAUCCGGAUUCAUUGGGCGUAAAGCGUCCGCAGGUUGUUUAGUAAGUUAGUUGUCAAAUCCUGGGGCUUAACUUCAGGACUGCGACUAAUACUGCUAAACUCGAGGCUGGGAGAGGCAAGCGGAACUGCAGGUGUAGUCGUAAUAAGCGCUGAUAUCUGCAGGAACACCAAAGGCGAAGGCAGCUUGCUAGAACAUGCCUGACACUCACGGACGAAAGCGUGGGUAGCGAAUGGG
rnacentral:misc_RNA from 1 species